rnacentral:SRP_RNA from 2 species
GCUGGGCAUGGUGGCUCAUGCCUGUAAUCCCAGCACUUUGGGAGGCUGAGGUGGGUGGAUCAUCUGAGGUCAGGAGUUUGAGACCAGCCUGGCCAACAUGGUGAAACCCCGUCUCUA